AGCAGUAGCCGCGGUAACACGUAGGUGGCAAGCGUUGUCCGGAAUUAUUGGGCGUAAAGGGCUCGCAGGCGGUUUCUUAAGUCUGAUGUGAAAGCCCCCGGCUCAACCGGGGAGGGUCAUUGGAAACUGGGAAACUUGAGUGCAGAAGAGGAGAGUGGAAUUCCACGUGUAGCGGUGAAAUGCGUAGAGAUGUGGAGGAACACCAGUGGCGAAGGCGACUCUCUGGUCUGUAACUGACGCUGAGGAGCGAAAGCGUGGGGAGCGAACAGGAUUAGAUACCCCGGUAGUCCCUGUCUCUUAUAC
rnacentral:rRNA from 1 species